UACGGAGGGUGCGAGCGUUGUUCGGAAUCAUUGGGCGUAAAGCGCGUGUAGGCGGCUUGGUAAGUCGGGUGUGAAAGCCCGGGGCCCAACCCCGGAACUGCAUUCGAAACUGCCUCGCUAGAGUCCCGGAGAGGAAGGCGGAAUUCCCGGUGUAGAGGUGAAAUUCGUAGAUAUCGGGAGGAACACCAGCGGCGAAGGCGGCCUUCUGGACGGUGACUGACGCUCAGACGCGAAAGCGUGGGGAGCAAACAGG
rnacentral:rRNA from 1 species